CAGCAUUUCGGUAAUAGCGGAAUAUAUCCCAGGACGAGACAAUGUACUGGUGGAUUGGAAGUCUCGAUAUCUUCGAGACGCAGGGGAUUGGCAUCUCCACCCGGGGGCCUUUCAACAAAGAUCUCUUCGCGUCUCGACUGAACACCCAACUCCCUCGGUUCUUCAGUUGGAGACAGGACCCAGAUGCUCUGGCGACAGACGCGUUCUUACAAGACUGGACCAAGG